rnacentral:rRNA from 1 species
UACAGAGGGUGCUAGCGUUGUUCGGAAUUAUUGGGCGUAAAGGGCGCGUAGGCGGCCUCGCAUGUCGAAUGUGAAAGCCCACCUCUUAAAGGUGGAAUUGCAUUCGAAACUGCAAGGCUGGAGUGCCGGAGAGGGUGGUGGAAUUCCUGGUGUAGAGGUGAAAUUCGUAGAUAUCAGGAGGAACACCGGUGGCGAAGGCGGCCACCUGGACGGUAACUGACGCUGAGGCGCGAAAGCGUGGGGAGCAAACAGG